UAUAUCAUGUAAAGGCCUAAUACUGUAUUAAUUUUCUAUGUUCAAUUUAUGCAUCAUUGUCCAUUUUAAUGUCCUUAGUAUGCCUUUGCUCAUCUACCUGGUAGUUAAAUAAAAUUAAUCUGGUAAUAUCCAAAUGACUGAAUCAACUUAUACAGACUCUUAUAAGGAAAAAGCAAUGAGGCUUAUUAUCUCUCUAUUUUUUUACUUACUGUUAUUCCUUCAUUUUCAAGGUUAUCAAUAUAUGUUUGUUUCCACUUUGACAGUUGGACUUCCAAACGUGAGAUGGUUUGGUGUUGAAGGGGACUAUAAUGUUCUCGUGAUGUAUUUAAUUGGACCUAAUCUUGAAAGUCUAUUCAACUUUUGCAGUAGGAAAAUCUCUUUAAAGUCUGUUCUAAUGCUUGCAGACCAUAUGGUCAAUCAUGUUGAAUUCGUACUCGCCAAAUCUUUUCUACAUCGAGAUAUUAAGCUAGAUAAUCUCCACAUGGGGCUUGGAAGGCGUGCAAAUCAGUUGUACGUUGUUGGCUUUGGUUUGGCUAAGAUGUACAGAGAUACUACAACACAUUCCAUAUAGGUACAAAGAAGAGUGUACUCAUUAGUGAAUACA